CAGGUGAGAGCUGCAUAGGAGCCGGACCUGCCGCUGGCUGCUUCCGGGUCACAGCACGAUCUGAGGUGCCAGGACAGGCAGGAAGCCUGCCUCUGCACCCCUGCUGCACUGCAGACUGAGAGCCGCCCGAGGAAAAGAGAUGCUGUAUUGGGCAAUCUAUGCACCAUCAAUAGAAGAGGAGAGAGACAGAACAAAGAAUAAAUAAAGGACAAAGUACCAACAAGAUGAAGCACGUGGAUUUAGAGGAAGAGAAUGGUUGAGAGAGAUGGAAGGAGAAUAAUUGAUCUGACCAAUGAACUGGGAUAAAACCAAAAAGUGACAAAGAAGAUAAAUGUCUUGCUCACACAGAGCCCAGCUGGAGUCAACAGGGAGCUACGCAAGUGCAACAAUUUACCCAUGUGCUGUCAAUUGCAGAACUGAGGCCCACAAUACCUCCCACCACCAAUCACAUGCGGAGUAUUCUGAUCCUCCUGUAACCAGCAAUCGCCAUACUUUCUACAACAACAAAAUGCUCAGGAGAGCUUUGCAAAGAAUUCAGACCAAAAAUUCAUUACAAUUUCAACUCAAAGAAAUAAAAACAGACUUCCCUGAACCAACCUGACAUGCAUUUUAGUAAGUGGAUUUAGUAGAACGUCAACAUUUAAACUGCAUUUAAUGAAUAUUUGAAUUCGGACUUGUGAUUUCAGUUUACAAAUUUUCAGUUGUACAAGCUUGGCUGAAUGAAAUCAAUGCAUCAAAUGUUUGCUUUUAGGGUGUUUAUUUUUUCACAGAGUUCACUUUGCAUUGCUGUCUGAAUCUUAUUUAGCAGUGCAACAAAUUCUUGUAUAUAUUACAACAUUUUGGGGAACACAUGAGCUCUGUUUUCAUAGUUAUUGUAUAUCUACAAUAUGUGAUUUGAAGCAAUAUCUCUGGAAAGUCUUAAUUCCUCUAGCUAUUCUAGCACCGAGUAUAAAAAAAUAAUGUUCUGAGGGCUCAAAAAUUAAAAAAUAUAUACCUAAGCAAACACAUAUACAAGAAGUUUUAUUCCCAGCUGUGAAGUGCAUUACGAAGCACAUGGCUGAGGGUCAAGUAUCUGCUGCAGUUAAGUAUUUUCUCUCAACAAUUCCACACACUGUAGAGUUUCUUUUAUAUGUAGGAGUAAAUAAACCAUUCCCAGAAGUUUUAAUUUAAUCCUUAUUACUUUUAUUAUUAAAAUCAAUAUUUCUGUGGUCACAGUAGAAAGAUGAGGUACGUGCAAUUUGUCAAGAAUCUGCCGACAUGUGCUGCAGCCAGACCAACAUCAACACAUGCCCAGUAGGAAGUAGUCUUGCAGGUUAUUGCACUGUUGAGCUAAGACUCACACAAACUCUGCUAGUCUCCUUCACUCCAUAUCUAAUCCUUGGUCCUGUCCUGACACACAGGCCAGCCGACCAAUCACCACUCGGUCCAAAGGCCUAAAUAUAGGUAUGCACAGUAUCCCCACAACACUCCACACUGCCAAUCUCAUAUUGAGUAUUCUGGUACUCCUGUAUCCAACUAUCAGCCUCUAACGGUCAGCUCUUUUAUAAUUCAGGGGAGCAAUAACUGACAUCCUCCGAAGCACACUAGGUUUGAGAGGAUGCUGAGUGGUGUUUAACUGCCUCCUUGACAAGGACUAACUUGCCAGACCAUGCAGAGGUUGUGAUGAUAUAAUCUCAGAAAGGAUAAAAGACAAGAAUUCAUGAGCAGAACACAAUUACAAAAACAACAAACAUGACUGAGCAUACACAGAACACAACCACAGAACCCAGAGCACCAUACAUGGAAAAGCUGACAACCAAGCAGCAUGGGCAAGAGGCAGGACCAUAGCCCCAAACCGGACCUUAUGGAAAUCAGGAAGCCUUUCUAUCUGCUCAAUAUAGUAGACUUCCAAUCAAGGGGCAUUAACCAGUGACGUCACCACCAUGGCCAAGCUCAUCAGACAGAUUUCCCCAUCAAAACCUGAAAAGAAAGCCAUUGGUCUGCAUGCUAAUCCUCCUGGUGAGGACUAAUCAAGGCAGUACAGCCAAUGAAUGCAGUACCAAAUCACCCACUGUCUCAAGUCAGGGAGGUAGGGGAGAGGGACAAUAAAGGAGUUUUCUCUCCCGCUCUCCAUCCUCCCAUUGGCCCAGACAAGCAAUGCCUGGCUUCAUGGGCUGAGCUGAAUUACCCCAGGAAAAGUGAUGUUUUCCAUUCACUGAAGCAAUUCUAAGGUAAAUAUGCAAAAAAUAAAAGUGAUCAGAGUUACUUGUUAUAGAAAGUAAUUGUUGUUUCCAUUCAUGCGACAGCCAUUGGAACUUCAUAUACUUUUCUUUCCACCUCUGCAUCAGAAGCCACAGGUGCUCUGCUGUGGAGGCAAUACAGAGGCACUCUUAAUUUCUCCUGUUACCACGGAGCUUGUCAGAUAACAGCUUCAGGAAGUAGUGUAGUAGUGAGUUUAGUUUAUUUAAAAAAAAAAAAAAAAGGCUGGCUCCAUUUCUCUGUCCAGUCACAGCCAUUACUUCUUAGAACUCCAGCCUGGCAUCAAUGAUACACAGGCAACGGUUUCAUGACUGGGUGAUUUGUGAGGUUUACUUAAGCUCUGCUUCCUUGAAAAUGUGUGGCAUCAUACCAGAGUUUAUUUAGACCUAAUUCUCUUGGUCAUAACAUGUAAGUUUAUUGUUUAUGAUUUACUUGGAUAGCCUUCUUGGGUAAAGGUAAAAGCAAGUGGGUGACAAUUUACAACAUAUUCCAAGGCAGGUAAUAAGACGCAUGUGGUUGGACAGUUGCAAAUACAAAAUCCCCUAGUUUAGUAGUUCAUGGACACCAAUGGUUUCUGGAGCAUGUUGCUGGUAGUGCAUUGAGAGAUGGAUGGUAACAUGGUGCUGGCUCUCCUCGUUUCCAGCUGAUACAUCAUAUGUAAUGUAUUUUAGCUUUACUUAAUAUUUUCCUGUUAUUACUAAAUGUAGGCAAUUACUGUGCUUGCUACAAGGAGGUUAUUCAGUUGCCAACGGCAGGGGAAGUGGUCCUUAUAGCUGUGAAUGGGAAAAGAGACUCUACAAGACAACCUCCUUAUUAUGAUGUAAUUCAUACCUAAAAAAGUUUGAGAACCUUGUUUUAGCACUUUUAUUUAUUCCCCCUUCAA